CAGUCGCCGCGGGAAUACGUAGGGUGCGAGCGUUAAUCGGAAUUACUGGGCGUAAAGCGUGCGCAGGCGGUUAUAUAAGACAGAUGUGAAAUCCCCGGGCUCAACCUGGGACCUGCAUUUGUGACUGUAUAGCUAGAGUACGGUAGAGGGGGAUGGAAUUCCGCGUGUAGCAGUGAAAUGCGUAGAUAUGCGGAGGAACACCGAUGGCGAAGGCAAUCCCCUGGACCUGUACUGACGCUCAUGCACGAAAGCGUGGGGAGCAUACAGGAUUAGAUACCCGUGUAGUCCCUGUCUCUUAUAC
rnacentral:rRNA from 1 species